CAGCCGCCGCGGUAAUACGAAGGUCCCAAGCGUUGUUCGGAAUCACUGGGCGUAAAGGGAGCGUAGGCGGCGUGGUAAGUCAGAUGUGAAAUCCCGGGGCUCAACCCCGGAACUGCAUCCGUUACUGCCAUGCUUGAGGGUUGGAGAGGUGACUGGAAUUCUCGGUGUAGCAGUGAAAUGCGUGGAUAUCGAGAGGAACACUCGUGGCGAAGGCGAGUCACUGGACAACAUCUGACGCUGAGGCUCGAAGGCUAGGGUAGCGAAAGGGAUUAGAGACCCCUGUAGUCCCUGUCUCUUAUAC
rnacentral:rRNA from 1 species